rnacentral:rRNA from 1 species
UGGCAUACGGCUCAGUAACACGUAGUCAACAUGCCCAGGGGACGUGGAUAACCUCGGGAAACUGAGGAUAAACCGCGAUAGGUCAUCACUUCUGGAAUGGGUAAUGACUUAAAUCUAUAUGGCCCCUGGAUUGGACUGCGGCCGAUCAGGCUGUUGGUGAGGUAAUGGCCCACCAAACCUGUAACCGGUACGGGCUCUGAGAGGAGGAGCCCGGAGAUGGGCACUGAGACAAGGGCCCAGGCCCUAUGGGGCGCAGCAGGCGCGAAACCUCUGCAAUAGGCGAAAGCUUGACAGGGUUACUCUGAGUGAUUUCCGUUAAGGAGAUCUUUUGGCACCUCUAAAAAUGGUGCAGAAUAAGGGGUGGGCAAGUCUGGUGUCAGCCGCCGCGGUAAUACCAGCACCCCGAGUGGUCGGGACGUUUAUUGGGCCUAAAGCAUCCGUAGCCGGUUCUACAAGUCUUCCGUUAAAUCCACCUGCUUAACAGAUGGGCUGCGGAAGAUACUAUAGAGCUAGGAGGCGGGAGAGGCAAGCGGUACUCGAUGGGUAGGGGUAAAAUCCGUUGAUCCAUUGAAGACCACCAGUGGCGAAGGCGGCUUGCCAGAACGCGCUCGACGGUGAGGGAUGAAAGCUGGGGGAGCAAACCGGAUUAGAUACCCGGGUAGUCCCAGCUGUAAACGA